CCUACGGGGGGCAACAGUGAGGAAUAUUGGUCAAUGGGCGCUAGCCUGAACCAGCCAAGUAGCGUGAAGGAUGACUGCCCUAUGGGUUGUAAACUUCUUUUAUAUGGGAAUAAAGUGCAGUAUAUAUACUGCUUUGCAUGUACCUUAUGAAUAAGGAUCGGCUAACUCCGUGCCAGCAGCCGCGGUAAUACGGAGGAUCCGAGCGUUAUCCGGAUUUAUUGGGUUUAAAGGGAGCGUAGGCGGGUUGUUAAGUCAGUUGUGAAAGUUUGCGGCUCAACCGUAAAAUUGCAGUUGAUACUGGCAGCCUUGAGUACAGUAGAGGUAGGCGGAAUUCGUGGUGUAGCGGUGAAAUGCUUAGAUAUCACGAAGAACUCCGAUUGCGAAGGCAGCCUGCUGGACUGUAACUGACGCUGAUGCUCGAAAGUGUGGGUAUCAAACAGGAUUAGAUACCCGAGUAGUC
rnacentral:rRNA from 1 species